GAUGAACGCUAGCUACAGGCUUAACACAUGCAAGUCGAGGGGAAACGACAUCGAAAGCUUGCUUUUGAUGGGCGUCGACCGGCGCACGGGUGAGUAACGCGUAUCCAACCUGCCCAUCACUUGGGAAUAACCUUGCGAAAGUAAGACUAAUACCCAAUGACAUCCCACGAAGACAUCUGAAUGGGAUUAAAGAUUUAUCGGUGAUGGAUGGGGAUGCGUCUGAUUAGCUUGUUGGCGGGGUAACGGCCCACCAAGGCAACGAUCAGUAGGGGUUCUGAGAGGAAGGUCCACCACAUUGGAACUGCGACACGGACCAAACUCCUACGGGAGGCAGCAGUGAGGAAUAUUGGGCAAGGGGCGAGAGCCUGAACCAGCCAAGUAGCGUGCAGGAGGACGGCGCUAUGGGUGGUAAACUGCUGUUAUAAGGGAAUAAAGUGGGUAUCGGGAGACUUAUUGAAUGUACCUGAUGAAUAAGGACCGGCUAAUUCCGUG
rnacentral:rRNA from 1 species